rnacentral:rRNA from 1 species
GACGAACGCUGGCGGCGUGCUUAACACAUGCAAGUCGAACGGAAAGGCCCUGCUUGCAGGGUACUCGAGUGGCGAACGGGUGAGUAACACGUGGGUGAUCUGCCCUGCACUUCGGGAUAAGCCUGGGAAACUGGGUCUAAUACCGGAUAGGAGCCAUUUUUAGUGUGAUGGUUGGAAAGUUUUUUCGGUGUAGGAUGAGCUCGCGGCCUAUCAGCUUGUUGGUGGGGUAAUGGCCUACCAAGGCGGCGACGGGUAGCCGGCCUGAGAGGGUGGACGGCCACAUUGGGACUGAGAUACGGCCCAGACUCCUACGGGAGGCAGCAGUGGGGAAUAUUGCACAAUGGGCGCAAGCCUGAUGCAGCGACGCCGCGUGGGGGAUGACGGCCUUCGGGUUGUAAAUUCCUUUCGCUAGGGACGAAGCUUUUUGUGACGGUACCUAGAUAAGAAGCACCGGCUAACUACGUG